UGACCAGUUUCAGAUAUGUUUUCGUAUGAUUUCUGAUGGUUAACCCCAGCUGAAAUCAUCUAUACCAUCUACCUACCAUAUGCUGGUUUUCAACUGAUUUGUGUAGCAGCGAUCUCUCUCCAGUAGGGGCUACGGCUGCGCGAGCAACGGUGUUGCACUUUGAAGACAGUCCCUGGCUCUGUGCACAGUCACAGUGCACUAGUCUCAAAGCCGGGGGCACAUGUGUCCAGUUCGGAAGAGAGUUCGUUUUGAUACAAACUAGUUUGUAGCUCGUUGUCCACUUUACUACGGUUGGAAAGAGGCGUAGUUCGUGUUUAAACAACGUUUCGCUUCUGACUUCUUGAUUUGGGAACGUCUAAUCUGUGAAUAUAUCGUUCCAACACCAGAGAGUUCAAGCUCCUCGAAGACACAUCCCAGCCACGUGGUCAAUCUGCUGAGACGGCGUUUAUUGUUAAAAAAUAGGUACACCUUGAUCGUGUACACUGUUCUACAAGAUGAAUUGGAUAUCUGCAUAUUUUGGAAGAGCCUAUAAUACGGACGGGCCGAAGAAGAGGCUCCUGUCUUCAAAGUUGAGUGGUUGCUCUCAACCAGAAUGUAUAACCACGUGCCAAAAGCAUUUGAGGAAGAAACGUCCAGAGAGACUCGUCCAUGAACGCGACAAUGCUGGUUCUGGUACUGUGCCAUAAUUAGAAGAAACGUCCAGAGAGACUCAACCAAGGACGCGACAAUGCUGUUUCUGGUACUGUGCCAUAAUGAAAAGAAACGUCCAGAGAGACUCGUCCAUGGACGCGACAAUGCUGGUUCUGGUACUGUGCCAUAAUGAAAAGAAACGUCCAGAGAGACUCGUCCAUGGACGCGACAAUGCUGGUUCUGGUACUGUGCCAUAAUGAGAAGAAACGUCCAGAGAGACUCGUCCAUGGACGCGACAAUGCUGGUUCUGGUACUGUGCCAUAAUGAGUAAGUACUGGGGCUGUUUUGGGCUCUCUUGCACCAGAUUCAUGUUGUAGCCAUCGAUGAUGGCAAACCCCUUGUAUUGUUGUGGGGGAAAGGCUGGUGUUGCUAAAGGGUUUUCAUAUUAAGACCACAUUUACACAUAGCCGGGUAUUUACAGAAACGAAUAUUUCUGCCCCUCCAUUUUCAAAAAUAACGUCGUACACACAAGAUCGUUUUCAAAAAAGUUUCUGUUUACAUGAACCCGCAUAAAUACGCCCUUCUAUGGAGGGAUGCAGUAACUCCGAAAGAGACAGUAGUGAUGAGCGCGACAUUCGGAAGUUCUCAUGCCAUUCGUCCGGGAGGACGACUUCUUUCUCGAAGUUUUCCCACCAGACAGCAGUUCGCCCUGGUCGGAUCCAAACCCGUCGGCGGCGACGUUGGCAGGCAAUGUAGCCUACGUCUUGGGAGGGAAAGCAGUAGAAAGACUGCUGACCUCCGUGCAGUUCUUCGCCUCUGCUCCUCCAUAUAAAAAAGCAGUUGUGUUUGUAAAUACAAACAGGCGUUUGCAUUAAUGCAUAAAUGAGCACUACCUUAACAGCAUCCAUGAUCAGUAAGCAAACUAACUGUAAACAUAGCACGCUCCCAUGAUGUGAUGCAUUUUUAGUCGCAUACUGUGACGUUUGAGAACCUAAAACUCCGUUUGACCUAGUUCACAUGCAAACACAAAAACGGAGUUUUCAGAAAUCUCCACUUUGGCCGGAGUUUUUAGAAACUAUCGUUUUCCGUGAUAAAACCUCCGUUUUCGUGUAAAUGAAAGGCCAAAACGCAUGAAAAUAUAUGCGUU
ensembl:lncRNA